rnacentral:rRNA from 1 species
GUGGCAGCCGCCGCGGUAAUACGGAGGGUGCAAGCGUUAUCCGGAUUCAUUGGGUUUAAAGGGUGCGCAGGCGGAUACUUAAGUCAGUGGUGAAAUCCCGGGGCUCAACCCCGGAACUGCCAUUGAUACUGAAUAUCUGGAAUACGGUUGAAGUGGGCGGAAUGUAGCAUGUAGCGGUGAAAUGCAUAGAGAUGCUACAGAAUACCGAUCGCGAAGGCAGCUCACUAAGCCGAUAUUGACGCUCAGGCACGAAAGCGUGGGGAGCGAACAGGAUUAGAUACCCUGGUAGUCCACGCCGUAAACGAUGAUAACUCGUUGUUGGCGACACACAGUCAGCGACUAAGCGAAAGCGAUAAGUUAUCCACCUGGGGAGUACGAUCGCAAGGUUGAAACUUAAAUGAAUUGGCGG